AGGAAUUAGGCAAAUUGGAUCCGUAACUUCGGGAGAAGGAUCGCCACUGUAGGGUAAGGUUGACAAGCUUGACCAAGCCCGAAGUGGCCGCAGAGAAGUGGCCCUACCGACUGUUUACCAAAAUCACAGGUCUCUGCAAACGCGCAAGCGGAUGUAUAGGGGCUGACGCCUGCCCAGUGCCGGAAGGUUAAAGGGAGAGGUUACCCUGAGCGCAAGCGAAGGGGAAGCUUUGAACUGAAGCCCCGGUGAACGGCGGCCGUAACUAUAGACUGGACCGCUGUAGUUACGUUAAUAAAUCUGGCUAUAUGCUGGAAAACCCGGCGUAUCCUCCGGUACUCGCUCCAAUGGGAAGCAGUGACAAUCCGUGAGGUGCGGGCAAUCAGCAGGAAAGUCUCCCAUAGGAGACCUCCACAGGAGGUGUUGCAAUGGCUCUGAAUGUUAAGAGCAUCCUGCCUCACAUCGGCUACUAUCUGGCAGGGUUUGCAGAUGGAGAAGGAAGCUUUAAUGUUUCUUUCCGGCAACGCAAAGACUACCGGAUUCCAUGGAAAAUCUCUCUUUGCUUCAACGUUUCGCAAAAAGAUCGCGUCAUCCUGGCGCUGUUCAAACAGCAUCUGCAAUGUGGGACGUUACGAGGGAGAGGGGAUGGAGUCUGGUACUACGAAGUCAACAAUCUGAACGCCAUCUGUGAACAUGUGAUUCCGUUCUUUGAGCGGUUUCGGUUCCUGUCAGCGAAGAAGAAACGCGAUUUUGCGAAGUUCAAGAAAAUCGCCAACCUGAUGCAGGAAGGACGACAUCUUACAGGAGAUGGAGUGCGUGAAAUACUUCGUGUCAGAGCCGAGAUGAACGAUGGAGGGGUGGGGCGGCGCAAAUACUCUGAUGAAGAGAUACUGAGCCGUUUCGCCCAGGGAGAAUCCCCAGAGACCAUACGCCAGACAUCCGCUGAGUAGCAAGGAAACCGCCGAUUCAGCGAGAUGAUGAGAUGGUCCGAUCUCUGUGGCGACACAGAGGGUCUAGACAUCGGUCUAGACCGCGCGGACGGGGCAUGGCCUCGUCGGUCGUGUAACAUAAAUGAACGGUCCUAAGGUGACUUUCGUUGCCCCCUUCUCUAGCGAUGGAGAAGGUGCAUCCGGCUAUAUGCUGGAAUAUCUGAGUAUCCGGCGCUACUAGCGUUUUUAACGCAGUAACAAUGCGGUCGGUGCAGACAACCAGCAGGAAAGGCCAGCACAAGUUGGCUUCCUCAGAGACUAUACGCCGGACAUCUGGUAUAGUCAUCAGAUGAAGAUAUAGUCCGUACCCUAUGGCGACAUAGGGAGGUCGGCAGAAAUGACCGACCCGCUACACAAGUAGCGGUAACAGAGUAGAGCGAAAUUCCUUGUCGGGUAAGUAAAUUGCCCGUACCGGCUGGUAACGGUGAAGCCCGACCUCGUUGCGGUGCGCAAGGGCACCGUGCCAAAGAGGGGGUAAUACCGUGGGAAGUCGUCCUGAGUGAAGCGAAGGACUGACCCCGUAACGACUGAAUCCGCAUCAAGCGGAUGAGACAGUGGUCACUGCUUUAUGGCAAAUCUACGACCUCUGUCAUACGCCGGUGUCUCUCCCGGAGAGUGUGCCGAUGGAUGUUAAGUCUUAUCUUACCGGGUAUGCCGAUGGUGAAGGAUGCUUCUGCGUUUCCAUCAAUCGAAGCCAACGUCAUCGGUUUGGCUGGGAAAUUCGACCGAGCUUCUCGGUUAGCCAAAACCGUGACCGGGCUGAGGUGUUGGAGAUGCUGAAAGCAUACUUUGGUUGUGGCACUAUUCGGCCAGAUAGGUCUGAUAAAACUCUCAAGUACGAAGUUCGAAGUCUUGACGAUUUGAUUGAGAGGGUUAUUCGCCACUUUGAGGAAAACCCUUUUCUCUCUGGGAAGCGCCGUGAUUUUGAGAAAUUUGCCCGUAUUUGCCGUACGAUGCACGUCGGGCAACAUCUUAUCAAAGACGGCUUCAACCAGAUCGUUGACCUGGCUUUUGAGAUGAACCCAUCAGGCAUCAGGAAGUACUCCAAGAAAGAGAUAAAGAUAUAGUCUGCGCCCGUAGUAAUACGGGAAGCACGCGAAGUUCCGACCCGCACGAAUGGCGUAACGAGUGGGGCACUGUCUCGACGAAGGACCCGGUGAAAUUGAAAUAGGCGUGAAGAUGCGUCUUACCCGCAGCAGGACAAAAAGACCCCGUGGAGCUUUACUGCAGCCUGGUAUUGUGUUAGGGCUGGAUCUGUGUAGGAUAGCUGGGAGACUGGGAAACUGGGGCGCUAGCCUCGGUGGAGUCGCCGUUGGAAUACCAGCCUGAUUCAGUUUUGACCCUAACCUGCGUCCGUGAUCCGGCGUGGGGACAGUGCCAGGUGGGCAGUUUGACUGGGGCGGUCGCCUCCCAAAAGGUAACGGAGGCGCCCAAAGGUUCCCUCAGGCUGAAUGGAAACCAGCCGUAGAGUGUAAAGGCAUAAGGGAGCUUGACUGCAAGACCCACAAGUCGAGCAGAGACGAAAGUCGGGCUUAGUGAUCCCACGGUUCCGAGUGGAAGGGCCGUGGCUUAACGGACAAAAGCUACCCCGGGGAUAACAGGCUGGUGGCGCCCAAGAGUUCAUAUCGACGGCGCCGCUCGGCACCUCGAUGUCGGCUCGUCGCAUCCUGGGGGGGAAGUACCUCCCAAGGGUUGGGCUGUUCGCCCAUUAAAGCGGUACGCGAGCUGGGUUCAGACCGUCGUGAGACAGGUCGGUCUCUAUCCGCUGUGGGCGUAGGGGAUUUGAGAGGAGCUGCUCCUAGUACGAGAGGACCGGAGUGGACCGACCGCUGGUGUGCCAGUUGUUCCGCCAGGAGCAUCGCUGGGUAGCUAAGUCGGGCAGGGAUAACCGCUGAAAGCAUCUAAGUGGGAAGCUCGCCUCAAGAUAAGAUCCCCCAUCCCGUGAAGGGAGUAAGUGCACUGGAAGACUACCAGUUUGAUAGGCGGCAGGUGUACGCACAGUAAUGUGUUCAGCCAAGCCGUACUAAUGCACGAGGGCUUAAUUCA
rfam:Anaerolineae bacterium CG2_30_64_16 cg2_3.0_scaffold_4647_c, whole genome shotgun sequence.